rnacentral:rRNA from 1 species
UGUUAAUAAUUUAUAUAAAAUAUUUUGGUGAAUAUUUAUAUAAUAUUAACAUAAUUCAUAUUACUAUUUUUUUUUUUAGUAUAUGAAAUUUUACUUUGAGAAAAUUAGAGUGCUUAAAGCAGGCAUAUGCCUUGAAUACUCCAGCAUGGAAUAAUAUUAAAGAUUUUUAUCUUUUUUAUUGGUUCUAAGAUAAGAAUAAUGAUUAAUAGGGACAGUUGGGGGCAUUUGUAUUUAACAGUCAGAGGUGAAAUUCUUAGAUUUGUUAAAGACAAACUAAUGCGAAAGCAUUUGCCAAGGAUGUUUUCAUUAAUCAAGAACGAAAGUUAGGGGAUCGAAGACGAUCAGAUACCGUCGUAGUCUUAACCAUAAACUAUGCCAACUAGAGAUUGGAGGUUGUU